rnacentral:rRNA from 1 species
UAAAAAAAGGUAAGCUACUAAGAGCGAAUGGUGGAUGCCUUGACUGGUAAAGGCGAUGAAGGACGUACUAGACUGCGAUAAGCUACGGGGAGCUGUCAAGAAGCUUUGAUCCGUAGAUUUCCGAAUGGGGCAACCCAAUGUAUAGAGAUAUACAUUACCUAUAUAGGAGCGAACGAGGGGAAUUGAAACAUCUUAGUACCCUCAGGAAAAGAAAUCAAUAGAGAUUGCGUCAGUAGCGGCGAGCGAAAGCGCAAGAGGGCAAACCCAGUGCUUGCACUGGGGGUUGUAGGACUGCAAUGUGCAAGAGCUGAGUUUAGCAGAACAUUCUGGAAAGUAUAGCCAUAGAGGGUGAUAGUCCCGUAUGCGAAAAACAAAGCUUAGCUAGCAGUAUCCUGAGUAGGGCGGGACACGAGGAAUCCUGUCUGAAUCUGGGUCGACCACGAUCCAACCCUAAAUACUAAUACCAGAUCGAUAGUGCACAAGUACCGUGAGGGAAAGGUGAAAAGAACUGAGGUGAUCAGAGUGAAAUAGAACCUGAAACCAUUUGCUUACAAUCAUUCAGAGCACUAUGUAGCAAUACAGUGUGAUGGACUGCCUUUUGCAUAAUGAGCCUGCGAGUUGUGGUGUCUGGCAAGGUUAAGCAAACGCGAAGCCGUAGCGAAAGCGAGUCUGAAUAGGGCGCUUAGUCAGAUGCUGCAGACCCGAAACGAAGUGAUCUAUCCAUGAGCAAGUUGAAGCUAGUGUAAGAACUAGUGGAGGACUGAACCCAUAGGCGUUGAAAAGCCCCGGGAUGACUUGUGGAUAGGGGUGAAAGGCCAAUCAAACUUCGUGAUAGCUGGUUCUCUCCGAAAUAUAUUUAGGUAUAGCGUUGUGUCGUAAUAUAAGGGGGUAGAGCACUGAAUGGGCUAGGGCAUACACCAAUGUACCAAACCCUAUCAAACUCCGAAUACCUUAUAUGUAAUCACAGCAGUCAGGCGGCGAGUGAUAAAAUCCGUCGUCAAGAGGGAAACAACCCAGACUACCAGCUAAGGUCCCUAAAUCUUACUUAAGUGGAAAACGAUGUGAAGUUACUUAAACAACCAGGAGGUUGGCUUAGAAGCAGCCAUCCUUUAAAGAAAGCGUAAUAGCUCACUGGUCUAGUGAUUUUGCGCGGAAAAUAUAACGGGGCUAAAGUAAGUACCGAAGCUGUAGACUUGCACACAACUUAGAUUAUUUAAGUUUAGAAUAAGUAGUUUAAGUUGUGUGCAAGUGGUAGGAGAGCGUUCUAUUUGCGUCGAAGGUAUACCGGUAAGGAGUGCUGGAGCGAAUAGAAGUGAGCAUGCAGGCAUGAGUAGCGAUAAUUAAUGUGAGAAUCAUUAACGCCGUAAACCCAAGGUUUCCUACGCGAUGCUCGUCAUCGUAGGGUUAGUCGGGUCCUAAGUCGAGUCCGAAAGGGGUAGACGAUGGCAAAUUGGUUAAUAUUCCAAUACCAACAUUAGUGUGCGAUGGAAGGACGCUUAGGGCUAAGGGGGCUAGCGGAUGGAAGUGCUAGUCUAAGGUCGUAGGAGGUUAUACAGGCAAAUCCGUAUAACAAUACUCCGAGAACUGAAAGGCUUUUUGAAGUCUUCGGAUGGAUAGAAGAACCCCUGAUGCCGUCGAGCCAAGAAAAGUUUCUAAGUUUAGCUAAUGUUGCCCGUACCGUAAACCGACACAGGUGGGUGGGAUGAGUAUUCUAAGGCGCGUGGAAGAACUCUCUUUAAGGAACUCUGCAAAAUAGCACCGUAUCUUCGGUAUAAGGUGUGGUUAGCUUCGUACUAGGAUUUACUCCGAAAGCGAAGAAACUUACAACAAAGAGUCCCUCCCGACUGUUUACCAAAAACACAGCACUCUGCUAACUCGUAAGAGGAUGUAUAGGGUGUGACGCCUGCCCGGUGCUCGAAGGUUAAUUGAUGGGGUUAGCAUUAGCGAAGCUCUUGAUCGAAGCCCGAGUAAACGGCGGCCGUAACUAUAACGGUCCUAAGGUAGCGAAAUUCCUUGUCGGUUAAAUACCGACCUGCAUGAAUGGCGUAACGAGAUGGGAGCUGUCUCAAAGAGGGAUCCAGUGAAAUUGUAGUGGAGGUGAAAAUUCCUCCUACCCGCGGCAAGACGGAA